rfam:Stegodyphus mimosarum contig109883, whole genome shotgun sequence.
GCCUUCGUGGUGCAGUGGUUAUCACGCUGGGUACGUAUUCCAGAGGUCGGUGGUUCGAGUCCCGGCGAAGACU